rnacentral:lncRNA from 1 species
UGGUUUGGGAGAAAGGGGCGUGGUUUGGAGUAGGUGUGGGGCUCGAGGUGGGUGUGGUUUAUGAAAGGGGGCGUGGUUUAUGAAGGGGCGUGGCUUGAGAAGGGGGCGGGGCUACUGCGCAGACAGACCCGGAGACUUUGGGGUCAUUUGGGGUUUAUUUGGGGUUUAUUUGGGAUUUUCGCAGUUUUUUUGGGGGGGGUAGGGGGGGGUUCAGGGGUCACGUGAUGGUUCGGGGUCACUGGGGUUCAAGGUCAUUUUGGGGUCAUUUGGGUUUUGGGGUCAUUUGUGUUUUGGGGCAAUUUGGGGUCACGUGAAGGUUUGGGGUCAUUGGGUUCAGGGGUCAUUUGGGGUCAUUCGGGUUUGGGGGUCGGAACGGGGUCGUUUGGGGUCAGUUGAGAUUUGGGGUCAUUACGGGCGAGGGGAUAAUUUGGGGUCAUUUGGGGUCACGUGAUGGUUUGAGGUCAUUUGGGGUCACGUGAAGGUUUGGGGUCAUUCGGGAUUUGGGCUCAUUUGGGCUCAUUCGGGGUCAUUUGGGUUUGGGGGUCGGAACGGGGUCGUUUGGGGUCAGUUGAGAUUUGGGGUCAUUACGGGCGAGGGGAUAAUUUGGGGUCAUUUGGGGUCACCUGAAGGUUUGGGGUCAUUUGGGGUCACGUGAAGGUUUGGGGUCAUUCUGGAUUUGGGGUCAUUUGGGGUCAGUUGGGAUUUGGGGUCAUUCGAGAUCUGGGGUCAUUUGGGAUCAUUUGGGGGCAAUUUGGGCCCUUUUGGGGUUUGGGUUUUUGGGGGCCAUUUGGGCCUUUUUGGGUUUUUUGGGGCCCUUUUGGGGUUUGGGUUUUUGGGGUAAUUUGGGCCCUUUUUGGGUUUUUUUGGGCCCUCUACUCGUAGUGGCGCAGCAGCUCAUCCAGCAGCUCCUCGCACAUCAGCAGCGCCCGCGGCAGGUGGAAGCAGCCUGCGCCCAGUACAGACCAGUACAAACCAGUAAGGACCAGUACAAACCAGUAAGGACCAGCACAGAGCGCUACGGACCAGCAGGGACCAGUACAACCCAGUACGGACCAGCAUAAAUCGAUACAAACCCAGUACGGACCAGUAUGGACUGAUGUCCUCAGUGGGGACCAGUACCGUCCCAGUCCCUCCCAGUAUAUCCCAGUUCCAUCCCAGUAAGUCCCAGUUCCCCUCAGUCCCAUCCUAGUCACCCCCAGUAUAUCCCAGUUCCAUCCCAGUCCCUCUCAGUCCCACCCCAGUCGAUCCCAGUCCCAUCCCAGUCAAUCCCAGUCGAUCCCAAUUCCUCCCAGUCGAUCCCAGUCCCAUCCCAGUUGAUCCCAGUCCCAUCCCAGUCAAUCCCAGUCAAUCCCAGUCCCAUUCCAGCCCCUCCCAGUCGAUCCCAGUCCCACCUGGU